GGGCAGGCUCUCCCCGUUCCGAGGCAGAAACUCCAGAUCAGAAGACGAGGGGAAGGGGAAGGAGAAGAGAAUCACUUGCACCUACCUUGCUGGUGUCAGAAGAGAGUGACCAUGGGCCUGACCUCAUACUGCAAUUCAGCAGCCCUGUAAAGGAGGAAAAUCACAAGUACUCUGAAAAGUUAUGUUCACACAGAACAUGGGUGGCAGUUCAAAAGACCACUUAAAUACAUACCUGAGAUCUACAGACCUCAAUUAUUUCUAAACUCUGGCUUGCUCUACUUCUCUGCCUAUGCAUUGUGAAAAUAAAUCACUCAAUUCUGUUACUAUGUUUUAUGUGAAAUAAUUGUUAAAUAUUUUCAUAAAUAUAAGUUCUCCCUUAAUAAAGAAAAUUGUAUAUUAAAAAUACAGCAUUUCCUUUGAUAGAAGAAAACGGGAAAGCUUCAAAAAUAAAAUCUCUAGAGAAUAAGUUUUUUGCCACUGUGAUAUAAGACUGAAACUUUAAGCCAUUAGGCUUUAAAAUCUGUAAUGACCUUUUAGAGAACUUUACAGUGGAUAAAUUAGUUAUUCAGAAGUUGUGUUGCUGCUCUCCAGAGGAAAAAGUUAAAAGGAUUUUUUUUCCAAAAUAAAAGUAGAAACACCUGAA